CCUACGGGAUGCAGCAGUGAGGAAUAUUGGUCAAUGGACGAGAGUCUGAACCAGCCAAGUAGCGUGAAGGAUGACUGCCCUAUGGGUUGUAAACUUCUUUUAUAAAUGAAUAAAACGAGGCACGUGUUCCUUUUUGCAUGUACUUUAUGAAUAAGGAUCGGCUAACUCCGUGCCAGCAGCCGCGGUAAUACGGAGGAUCCGAGCGUUAUCCGGAUUUAUUGGGUUUAAAGGGAGCGUAGAUGGGUUGUUAAGUCAGUUGUGAAAGUUUGCGGCUCAACCGUAAAAUUGCAAUUGAUACUGGCAGUCGUGAGUACAGUUGAGGUAGGCGGAAUUCGUGGUGUAGCGGUGAAAUGCUUAGAUAUCACGAAGAACCCCGAUUGCGAAGGCAGCUUACUAAACUGUGACUGACAUUGAUGCUCGAAAGUGUGGGUAUCAAACAGGAUUAGAUACCCCUGUAGUC
rnacentral:rRNA from 1 species